UACGUAGGGUCCGAGCGUUGUCCGGAAUUAUUGGGCGUAAAGAGCUCGUAGGCGGUUUGUCGCGUCUGCUGUGAAAACUCGAGGCUCAACCUCGGGCUUGCAGUGGGUACGGGCAGACUAGAGUGCGGUAGGGGUGACUGGAAUUCCUGGUGUAGCGGUGGAAUGCGCAGAUAUCAGGAGGAACACCGAUGGCGAAGGCAGGUCACUGGGCCGCAACUGACGCUGAGGAGCGAAAGCAUGGGGAGCGAACAGG
rnacentral:rRNA from 1 species